rnacentral:rRNA from 1 species
ACCCGCUGAACUUAAGCAUAUCAAUAAGCGGAGGAAAAGAAACCAACAGGGAUUGCCCUAGUAACGGCGAGUGAAGCGGCAACAGCUCAAAUUUGAAAUCUGGCCCUCGGGUCCGAGUUGUAAUUUGUAGAGGAUGCUUUUGGUGCAGUGCCUUCCGAGUUCCUUGGAACAGGACGCCUUAGAGGGUGAGAGCCCCGUACGGUUGGACACUAAGCCUCUGUAAAGCUCCUUCGACGAGUCGAGUAGUUUGGGAAUGCUGCUCUAAAUGGGAGGUAAAUUUCUUCUAAAGCUAAAUACCGGCCAGAGACCGAUAGCGCACAAGUAGAGUGAUCGAAAGAUGAAAAGUACUUUGAAAAGAGGGUUAAAUAGCACGUGAAAUUGUUGAAAGGGAAGCGUUUAUGACCAGACCUUUGUCUAGCGGAUCAUCCGGUGUUCUUCACCGGUGCACUUCGCUAGGCUCAGGCCAGCAUCGGUUUCUGUAGGGGGAUAAAGGCCAUGGGAACGUAGCUCUCUCCGGGGAGUGUUAUAGCCCUAGGUGUAAUACCUUUACGGGGACCGAGGUUCGCGCUUCUGCAAGGAUGCUGGCGUAAUGGUCAUCAACGACCCGUCUUGAAACACGGACC